CUCCUACGGGAGGCAGCAGUGGGGAAUAUUGGACAAUGGGCGCAAGCCUGAUCCAGCAAUGCCGCGUGUGUGAAGAAGGCCUGCGGGUUGUAAAGCACUUUCAGUGGGGAGGAAUGCCUGAUGAUUAAUACUUAUCAGGAUUGACGUUACCCACAGAAGAAGCACCGGCUAACUCUGUGCCAGCAGCCGCGGUAAUACAGAGGGUGCAAGCGUUAAUCGGAAUUACUGGGCGUAAAGGGUGCGUAGGUGGCAUGAUAAGUCAGAUGUGAAAUCCCCGGGCUCAACCUGGGAACUGCAUUUGAAACUAUUAAGCUAGAGUAUGGUAGAGGGAAGUGGAAUUUCCGGUGUAGCGGUGAAAUGCGUAGAUAUCGGAAGGAACAUCAGUGGCGAAGGCGACUUCCUGGACCAAAACUGACACUGAGGCACGAAAGCGUGGGGAGCAAACAGGAUUAGAUACCCUGGUAGUCCACGCCGUAAACGAUGAGAACUAGAUGUUAGGAAGCUUGUCUUCUUAGUAUUGCAGCUAACGCGUUAAGUUCUCCGCCUGGGGAGUACGGCCGCAAGGUUAAAACUCAAAGGAAUUGACGG
rnacentral:rRNA from 1 species